UUUUUUAUUCAGUUUUGUUUUGUAAGUUUGGUCUAUUUUUCCUUUUCCAGUUUACUGUUUUAAUUUUUCUUACAUUUUUCAUUUUAUUUCUGAGGUACACUUUACAAUUCCUUGUUUUUCAGAUUUUAUUUCUUAUUUUUUAUUUCAUUCCUAUUUCUUUCAAAUACAAGUCAAUAUUUUUAAAUAUACGUUGUACAUUUUUGGUGUACACGUGUAACCUUGUUAUUUUUGUACAUUCAUCCUUUUUCA
rnacentral:lncRNA from 1 species